AAUUUUACUAAUUUUAUCUGAGUAUGCUACAUUUGAUUGUUACAAAACAUUUGUUGACAAAAAACACCAUGAAAAUGAGGGAACACAGCAAACAUGUCAGGGUAAAGAUUAUGGCAAAUCUACACAAACAUAACAAUUUGCAUAAACAUUUUUUUAAGAAAGGAGAGAAGCAGCCAAGAGAGAAGAUACCUAAUAGUUGUGCAAUCUAAAACUCUUCAUAGUAAAGUGGGACAAGAAAAGUAAUUUGUUGAAAGAAGUCCUGUUUGCCACAAAGAGUGUAGCGAACACAACAUGAAUACAAGUUUAAGGCACUCUAAUGAGAAGUCUGGCAAACCUUUAAAACUAUGUGGAGGAAAACUUUGACCUACUAUUUCUAUAACUAAACACACCAUACCCACUCUGAAACAUGGUGGUGGCAGCGUCACGCUGUGGGAUAUGUUUUUAUUCUUUAUCUCAACAGAUCCAAUUCGUUAAUUGCACCUCCAUGUAAUUCGAGAAGUUGUUCACCUUUAAGGUUAAUGCCACAUUGCAUGAGCUCGAAGUAAAUGCUGAAAAAUAAAACCUCAGCUUGUGUUGUGCUGCAGUCAUGUGCCUCAGUUAGAUAUAACAGUAAAAACCACAGGCUCUGAUGUUAGGCUGCCACUGACUCUCACCCAUAAGUCUAUUUGUUUCCCACAGUAAGAUUCUGCAUCAUGCGCAGUAGAAUAUUUUCUUUCAUUAUAAGCGUCUCAUCUUAUCAGACAUAUAUACAGACAGUUUUCUUUGACUUUCUUCCUCUUUUUGGUAAAGUACACAAAAUGAAAAUCCAAGAUGCUUUGGCAACAUGUGGUUAAAAUAUUGUCACUUGGGUGGCUCCAGGUUCAAUAAUAUGUAUGAUGUAAUAUGUAAAGAGGAAAGAGAGACUUUGUCACAUGUAAGACAUAUUUCUCAAGACAAUGUCGCAAUGGCAUGAGGCCAAGCAGCUUUUUUUUUUUUUUUUACUUUUCAAGAAGUGAGACCGUUAAAAUUCAUUUCCUUCCUUGUUGGAAAUAUCAGCAACACCCCACCUUUUGUAGUUCCUGUGAGUAUCUGGCACAGUCUGACAGCAGAGCUUCAUGGAAGGCUGAUAACAUUAUCUCUCUUUGCAACAUCUCACUUUUUUAAGAGGUUAAACCACAUAACAAAGGAGCAGCAUGGAGCAAUUUAUUCUUCUUCUUGUAUUGACUGGAGGAAGUCAUGCAUUUUUUCCACCCGCCGACACUGAAUGUGAUGCCAUCCAGGCUACCUCCUCCUGCUCUCCUGUUGUCGGAGGAUCCGUCAACAUCAAGUUAUUGACCAAUGCAGUCGGCUACAAGUUGCACUGUUUCAAGUUUUAUAAUGAAACAAAUCGUGCUGAAAUAUUUUCUCUAAAGAGAGAAAAAGUGAAGGUAGCUGAGAACAACAGAACAGAAUUCACAAUCGACACAGGAACACUCAAGAUUAUCAACGUGACAUGGAAUGAUACAGGUCUAUAUGUAGUGGAGAGAUAUGAUAAAAAUGGGAA